rnacentral:lncRNA from 1 species
CGGAGCGCGGCUCGGCCAGAGGACAACACCCGAACGGAACGCGAAGGUUCCUCAGGCGUCGCGGCGGGGUUUACUGCCGAUAAGCAAUUCUCCGCCGAAAUAUAAAUUACUCGCAGCAAACACAGGCUGAGCCCAGCCAUGCUGGUGGCUCUGGGCACUGAGCAGAACUGCAGCACAAGCCCACUUUCAGGCUUUUUGUAAGCCCACAUCUCUUUUCUGGCUAAGAACUUGAGGCUGAACUGCUUGGAACUGCUCUUAUCUCUGUUACCAUACGCUGUGAGCCCAGUACUGAGCUCCAUGGUUUGAAUUAAGCCUCUUUCUCUGCACCAGAGAUGUUCCUCGUGCAAGAGGACUGUCCUGGCAUCUCCUCUCAUCCUUCUUGGGAAAGGAAAUCCUGAGCAAUGUGGUGUGAUCCAAGUGGCCCUUCCAUCUCCGCUAUCAUCAGAAAACACCAUGUGCUUCAUGGGCAUGGCGCUGUGAAAUGGUUCCAGCUGUUCAACCCCGUGGAGAUGGACAAAAGUCAGAUGCAGAGUCUCUCCAUCCACCUCUGGGCCUGGCAGAGGAUGCUUGAGGUGGGGCUGGAUGAACCACAGCACUUUAAAGCAAAGUUGAAGGCAAAACGGCAACAUUUUCUGUGCUUGUGAGGCUGUGCUCCUGUUAAAAGUCACUCAUAUGGCAGCCAUCAAAAAGGUUUGGCUUUUUGCAUGUGAAAAAAAAUGUUUGUAUUAUUAAAAGAACAGUAUUCUGUGCCUUCUUCAGAAGGUAACGUGCACCAGAAACAAGCACUGUACUUCUCCUUUGCUACGCUGCUGCUUUUACAUUCAAAUCAACUGUAGCAAAAAGUUCUUCCCCUUUUCAUGAAAGAAAGGGGAGCUAGAAGAUCAUUUGUAUGGAAUCAUGUUAAUAGUACAGAAUAUUUUCUUGGAAUCAUUGAAUGGCCCUCGUUGGAAGAGACCUUUGAAAGAUCAUCAGGUCCAAACUUGAUUUUAUGUCCCUCGAGGCUGCAAAGUAUACUAAAUCUGAUUUAAUGUAGGGCUGCAGUAUCAUCUGAGGCUUCAAUCUUCUCCUAAGACUCUGCUGCUUCAUCUUGUGCCAGCCUUUAAUAACACAGGGGAACUUUAACAUGUGGCAAUCUGUACAGGUCACAGACAGGUGUCCACAUCCCCAAAAAUGCGACUAGAAAUGACAUCUUUGUUGACAGCCUCAUCAGAUUAAUUGGACUUCAGGACUGAGCUAAUUCUCACAUCAAGAGGUUUGAGAACAUACUGUCGGAGCUGCGUGAAGAACUUUGAACUCCUGUUUCUUGUGCUGUCGCCAGAUCAUAACAGCUUUGAUGGACUGGAUUAGGAAAUCAAUAUACACACAUUGACAUGCUAAUCCCUUCAGGGACACUCAUUAAAUAACAUUCAGAUAAAGGGGCCAUAACUGUAUGUGUGGAAUCAAUGGCUGCAGCAGAGUUAGGUUUUGUUUGCUUUAGUACUUUUAAAUAAUUUAACAUUUUUAAAACUCCAAACAUGCAAAGCAUUAAAAAUAUGAAUUAAACCCCUGAGAGCACUCAAAUUAGUAUUAAAUUAGACCUGAAACGUUAAGAGCAUGAAAAAGAGGCAGGUUUUCAUUUUUGUUCAUGCACAUUAAUGUCAAGAAACUCCUCAGAGUGAAAGGGAUCUGCUGGGUCACAGGUUCAGUUCUCUGCUGCAGGAGAUAUCUGCGCCAUCCAGUGUCUCCCAUAAAGUGAUCAAGCACUGUUUUAAAACUAAUUAGAAUUUUUCCCCUCCUGGGACUUUGCUCUGUAACCUUUCUCCAGGAAUGGGUAGAGAUCCUCAUCUAAUUUCAGACUAAAUGUAUUCCUGGCUAAUUUUUUGUUGUUGUUGUUGUUCUUUUUUCUUCCUUUUCAUUCAGCCUCCAGAUCCUUUUCCCUUCUUUGUUGCUCAUACGAUGUAUCUGCAGACAGGGGCACCUUCCCUCAGUCCUUGCUUUGUAAGGCUGAAUGGGCUGAAGCAGUGAAGUGUCUCCUGCAGGUAUUCGUGUCCUCCAUUCCCCCCAAUAGUCUUUUUCUGCUCCUGUUCCUGUAGGAGUGCAGUUCUUCUGCACAUCAAUAGCAUCACUUUUCUUGUGCCUCAGAUGACAUCACCACCAUAUCUCAGCUGAUACAGAACACACUCAUUUUUAAAGGUCCAUUUUUAAAGAUGUCUCAUGAGUCAGACAGAACCUCAUCCCUCCAGGAUGCUGAUUGGUCCCAUUUCAUGGGAUUAUGUUAUCAAUUUUGACUUCAAAUAACCAUCUUAGAGUUUUCAGCACUGUAAAUUAUCCCUUUUUUUCUUCAUUUGAUCUCUUUACUCCUUGAUGCUCAAAGUAGGCAUCAUAUGACUCCAUUUAAUUGAUUAUUCUGCUGUUGUCUGUUUCAUCUAGCGUUAUUAACAAGUGCCUCCUUAUCUCAUUUUUGGGAGGUUUGUUAGCAGGGGGAUCAGCUGGAUCAAUACCCACAUGAUAGAGAUGCUAAUUGCUUUGUCUACAGCUAUGUUAACUUGUAGUCCUCCUUGCCAAUCUUACAUGCAGUUUUAGAGUGAAUUCUUGAUAGAUUCUCAAAAUAUGCUGCAUAUUUUAAUUCAUUUUUUGUUUACAUACGUGUAAGAUUUAGCCUCAAAUGAGGCAUUUCCUGACAUUUUGAAAAAAAUCUGAAAUUUCUGACCUUCUUUCUUAUAUAAACUGAUGUGCUGCUGUUUUGCACCCUGAGCUAUUGAAUGUUGGCAGAGCAUUAUAUAGAAAAACAGGUGAUCCAUCUUGUGCUCCAUAGUUCUGCCCACUCCUUUUGUACAGUUUCACUGAACUGUUCUCAUAGGACCAAUGCACUGAAAUCAUUCGUGCCUAUGUAAAAGUCUUACUUUGGGUUUAAGAAUGUCUUAUUUUAAUCAAUAGGCUGACAACAAGCCAACCUUCAUUAUGCUACCUUUGAUUGCAAAAGAAGUGUAUUUUGGUCUUAACUUCUCAUUACAAACCUGGGCUCACUAAGUAAAUAUGAAUACAAGGAACCCUGGUUUGUCUCUUAUAGUUUGUGCUGUGUUUAAACGAGCUAGCUUUUAAAGAGGGCAGAGAAAGCCAUAGCCUUUGUUUUCUCUCUCCCUGCUUUUUAAGCCUUAGUUUUGAAUAGUGUGUGUAAAUUCAUCGAUAGAAGGGAGGAGGCACUUAAUGAACAUCACACAGAAGCAGACUUUCAAGGUCAGAUCUGGAAAACAAGCAAAGAGAUCUGUGAAUUUUGUUAUCUAUCUGUUCCAACACUGUUCCCUCUAUUCACCUCUCUGUUCAUUUCUUACUGCUGCAGGAAAAUGGCAGAUCUAAUUUAAUAUGUAUGUGUGUGUUAUUGUGCCAUGCAGAGCAUGUGUAUAUUUACACUGGAAACAGAACUGAAGGCAGUGAUCAAUUUGAUAGGCUAUAUCACAAAACAUGGAUAAAACGCUCUCUAUUCUUGUACGUUAUAAUUGUUUUUUCAUAUCUCUCCUGAAAAGAUUGCACAGAUGAAGUGUCAUUAAAUGCUUCUCUUCUACAACUCA